GAGCUCUAUUAUAGUAUAGAGCAUGUUCUCUGGAGCUUGGUUGCCUGAGUUCAAAUCCUGGCUCUACCACUUAUGUGAUCUGGGGCCAGUUACACAGAUUUUCUGCAUCUUGGUUUCCGCCUAUGUAGAAUGGUGUUAAUCAAGUACAUACUUCAUAGAGCUGUUAUGAGGGUUAAAUGGCUGAAUAUGUGUUACAACAAUGCUGUGAGGUGGAGAUUAUUACGCUUGUUUAAAAAAACUGGCUAAGACAAUUUAAGAGGGUUGACUAAAGUUUGCAUUGCUAUGUGUGGCAGAGCUAUUGUUUGAACUCAGAGUCAGCGCUUCUUCAAUGUCUCCUCAAGGUCAUUAAAAAAAAAACCAAGUAGAUGGGGGAGGACCUGGUGUGUGCUCUCUCCUCAGCAUGGUCUUCUACAAGUCUUUGUCCUCCUGGAGAGGAGUAAGAGAUACUGCCCAGAUUCCCUCUCUUCACUGGCAUUCAGCCAACCCUCUAUUGACCCAACAAACACCUUGAGUGCUUAAAUAUGUACACCUAGUGAUGUCUUUUGCUAUCCUAUUUGUGACUACCUCAAAUGCCAGGUUUCUACAAAGUUAUAAAUUCCCUGAGAGCAUCCUAUGUGUCUUUGUUACUACUAACAGUGUUUUACACAAUGCCAGGCACACGGUAGAUUCUCAAAAAACUAUACAGCUGUUUCACAUAUUUUUUAAAUACUUUCUUCUUUGUGCUUUUAUAUGUUGUCUAAAUUUUGUAUAAUAAGCAUGUGGUGAUUUUUAUUUAUUUAUUUUUGAGAGAGAGAGACAGAGUGCGAGCAGAGGAGGGGCAGAGAGGGAAACACAGAAUCUGAAACAGACUCCAGGCUCUGAGCUGUCAGCACAAAAUCUGAUGCACGGCUCGAACUCAUGAAUCGAGAGAUCAUGACCUGAGCCUAAGUCAGACACUUAACUGAGUGAGCCACUCAGAUACCCCAGCAUAUGGUAAGUUUUUAAUUUAAAAAAUAAUUAAGCUUUUUUUACCCUAUAAAAAACAUGUAGAUUUGUUGGUGACUUGCCAUAUCUGUCACUUUGAAAUCCAUCCUUUGUCUUUCGAGAGCUGGGGUAUGUGGCUGUCCUUGCCCAAGGGAUCCUGAUUGAUCUUCUCUGGUGGCAACAGGGCUCAGCCCCCUCCUUCCUGCAGGAUAAAGGAAACCUUGGAAGAGAGACGUAGAACUUUCUAGAAGGUCUGAAUGAAUACACCCUCCCCUACUUGAAACUUCAGGACAGCUGGCAGCUUAGGCCUUUUGUCCUCCAUCUGUGUCCAGCUAUUAGAGUUGUGCUGUGAUGUUAUUGAAUUGAAUCAAGAACCCAGGUGUGCUACCUCUUGCAGGCCCAUGUCAUCUUAAAGGUCCAAGAUCUACAGGCUAGUUGGAACAGAUGAGUAGAGGAAGAAGGAAAGAAUAUUUAUUGUUUUGACUCCAAAAUAUGGUGGCAAAACUUUGCAAAAUACAGAAGGUUAAAAGAUUGCCACAACAUCUUGACAGUUUCGUUGUGGUUUGUUUUACAUACCACUGCAUGUUAUAUGUAGACAGAUUCAUAUUUAUGAGAAGCAGAGAAUGGCCCACCCUGACUCCUCACCUUGAUCUUAUCAGACAGCAUCUGACAAAUGAAACAACAGGAAGUUUUGCUGGAAGCUGUUGCUGGCUGGGGUUAAACGCAAGCAGUAAGUGGUCUAGAAAUGUUAUAAUACUUGGCAUUGACCAAUAUUGCCACCACAGUGUGGUAAAUUCCAGAAUAAAAUUAGGACACAUAUAUAUCAAAAGUAAACCUCUGGGUUUGGGUUUUUCUCUUACUCUAUUCCUGGGAAAGUGUCCCUGGUCUGACAUGGUACAUUGUAUUCCAGCUUAUAAUAUUCAGGUGUACAACCAA